AGAAUCUUCCGAUUCUCUCCACCGCCUCCGCCGCCGCAUCGCCUCGAGCGAUCACGAUUCGAUCAUCUUCCAACUAUCGAUCUCUUGCGCGGUAUCGAGUUCUCCGUUUCUCGAUUUUGUACUCGUUUUUUUUUUUUUUUUUUUUCUGGAUUUUUUGAGUAUGAAUUAGCAAGUGUCUUUAAGGAAUCGGUUACUCGAUUCUAGUUAGAAGUUUAAGUAAUUCUAAGUGCGAUUUAUAUGGAACUGUGAUGGCGCUUGUGGGAUCAGUAGGAUGUUUUUGUAGUUUUUUUUGGGUUUCAUUUCAUCAAUUAUGGCUAAUCGAAUAGUGCGAAGCUGUUUAUUGUGUCUCUGUGGGAAGUAAGCGAGUUAAGAGGUAUUGGUUGUGCUCGGAAAAUUUAGAAGUGGUUUUUGUUCCUUUCCUAGUUUUUUAGAAAUGUCGGAGUAAGUUUUGGACUAAGGAAAUGUUAAUUAGUUAGCUAUUAUAUCAUUUCAAAUUUCGCAUUUUGGAAAUAAAAUGAGUAUGCUGGAAAAUUGUAAUUGCGGUGUUUGAUUUUAGUUUGUAAAGGUAUGAAGGAAUAAUAGCAAAAUAGCUUUUUGAUAAGGGGAAGAAACCUCAACGCAUGUAAAAAUAGUCAAUAAUGGAAAAGUUCAUCGAAAGAUUGUCUUUUUUAUUGCUCUUUUCUAAGUUUGGUUUUCAAAACAUUUCGUUUCCUUUUUAUGUAGUUACAUCAUUUGAUUGUAUUGUGCUAACACGGGAAAUGCUGCUAUAAUUUAUAUCGUGCAGCUUUAUUGGACUUAGAGCAAGCUCAUCAUGUUCAAAAAGCCAAUCGAGGCAAAAGCUUUGCAGCGUUUGUCGGGAGCAGAUAAGAAGAAGCUGAGAAG
rnacentral:lncRNA from 1 species